rnacentral:rRNA from 1 species
UUCCGGUUGAUCCUGCCGGACCUGACUGCUAUCGGAUUGAUACUAAGCCAUGCGAGUCAUUGUAGCAAUACAAGGCAGACGGCUCAGUAACGCGUAGUCAACCUACCCUAUGGACGGGGAUAACCUCGGGAAACUGAGAAUAAUACCCGAUAGAACAUUAUACCUGGAAUGGUUUAUGUUUCAAAUAAUUUAUUGCCGUAGGAUGGGACUGCGGCCUAUCAGUUUGUUGGUGAGGUAAUGGCCCACCAAGACUAUUACAGGUACGGGCUCUGAGAGGAGUAGCCCGGAGAUGGGUACUGAGACACGGACCCAGGCCCUAUGGGGCGCAGCAGGCGAGAAAACUUUGCAAUGUGCGAAAGCACGACAAGGUUAAUCCGAGUGGUUUCUGCUAAAGGAACCUUUUGUUAGUCAUAGAACCACUAAUGAAUAAGGGGUGGGCAAGUUCUGGUGUCAGCCGCCGCGGUAAAACCAGCACCUCAAGUGGUCAGGAUGAUUAUUGGGCCUAAAGCAUCCGUAGCCUGCUUUGUUAGUUUUCGGUUAAAUCCAUACGCUCAACGUAUGGGCUGCCGGGAAUACUGCAAAGCUAGGGAGUGGGAGAGGUAGACGGUACUCGGUAGGAAGGGGUAAAAUCCUUUGAUCUAUUGAUGACCACCUGUGGCGAAGGCGGUCUACCAGAACACGUCCGACGGUGAGGGAUGAAAGCUGGGGGAGCAAACCGGAUUAGAUACCCGGGUAGUCCCAGCUGUAAACUAUGCAAACUCGGUGAUGCAUUGGCUUGAUGCCAAUGCAGUGCCGCAGGGAAGCCGUUAAGUUUGCCGCCUGGGAAGUACGUACGCAAGUAUGAAACUUAAAGGAAUUGGCGGGGGAGCACCACAAGGGGUGAAGCCUGCGGUUCAAUUGGAGUCAACGCCGGAA